rnacentral:rRNA from 1 species
UACGGAGGGUGCAAGCGUUAUCCGGAUUCACUGGGUUUAAAGGGUGCGUAGGUGGCCCGGCAAGUCAACGGUGAAAGCUUGGGGCUCAACCCCGAGUCGGCCGUCGAUACUUCCGGGCUGGAGCACUGUAGAGGCAGGUGGAAUUCCGGGUGUAGCGGUGGAAUGCGUAGAGAUCCGGAAGAACACCGGUGGCGAAGGCGGCCUGCUGGGCAGUAGCUGACGCUGAGGCGCGACAGCGUGGGGAGCAAACAGG